rnacentral:rRNA from 3 species
CUCGGAUCAGGUAGGGAUACCCGCUGAACUUAAGCAUAUCAA